AAGUCGCAACAAGGUUUCCGUAGGUGAACCUGGGGAAGAAUCAUUAACACGUAAAACAACCCUGUGAACCUUCCUAGCGUGUUCUUGCAGGACAUCAACAAUCCCGAGUAAAUCAGGCGCUCAAGAAUUACAGAUUUUGAUUUUGGAAAGUUCUGAGCGCUAGAUGAAGCACCCUGGUACCCCUGUCUGAAAGCGGCAAGGGAUCAAUGUUCAGGGGGGCGCAGUCAACGAUCGCUGUGGGGUGGAGGCGAAGCUCCUACGUCAUCCCUAUGUACCCUCCGGGACUUGGCGAAAGCUGACUCCGUCAUAAAUCGAACAACUGUUAACAAUGGAUAUCUUGGUUCUC
rnacentral:misc_RNA from 1 species